AACGAACGCUGGCGGCAUGCCUAACACAUGCAAGUCGAACGAGACCUUCGGGUCUAGUGGCGCACGGGUGCGUAACGCGUGGGAAUCUGCCCUUGGGUUCGGAAUAACAGUUAGAAAUGACUGCUAAUACCGGAUGAUGACGUAAGUCCAAAGAUUUAUCGCCCAGGAUGAGCCCGCGUAGGAUUAGCUUGUUGGUGAGGUAAAAGCUCACCAAGGCGACGAUCCUUAGCUGGUCUGAGAGGAUGAUCAGCCACACUGGGACUGAGACACGGCCCAGACUCCUACGGGAGGCAGCAGUGGGGAAUAUUGGACAAUGGGCGAAAGCCUGAUCCAGCAAUGCCGCGUGAGUGAUGAAGGCCUUAGGGUUGUAAAGCUCUUUUACCCGGGAUGAUAAUGACAGUACCGGGAGAAUAAGCCCCGGCUAACUCCGUGCCAGCCGCCGCAUAAAAC
rnacentral:rRNA from 1 species